UUUUACCUCCUCUUUGCUCGAUCAGCUACUGAAUUGCUGCUGCUGCUGUGCUAUGUGAUCUGCACUUCGUGCGGCACUUCACACAUUUAAAAGCCUGUACAACAGCUGUCCUUUUGUUUCACUGCCUUGUCUCUCUCUUCUUCUAGACAUCCUCAAACACUAUUCGAUCACUUUUCGCUGUUCCAUUAUUUCAACAAGUGAUAUUUUCAGUUUGUUUGCGCUAAUGAGAUCUGUAAUAUUAUUUUGAGACUUUCUAAUUUUCCUACUUCCAUUAUCUCUAACAUGCUCUGCAUGUGUAUCGUGCCCACGUUUUUUUGAUUUUUUGCAACGUUCUACUUUGUCUUUUUCCGUCCCUGGGCAUGUUUAAAUCUCUUUGCACAAAGUCUAGUCUCGCGGGACGGGCUGAUUAUUACUUUCCUUAUUUUCAGAAUUUGCACAUAGAUUAUUUUUGUUCUUUUUUGCAUUCUUUUCUCUCCAAUGCUUUUGGGUAUCUUUUCAAUGCACUGCUCUUUCUUCUUCGCUUAUCGUUGACGUGCCAUCUAGAACAUAUAAAAUUUUUAAGUGCUGAGAGCACAGGAAGUGUGUCUGCCAAAAGCAUUCCAACAACUGAGAGGUUGUGGACUUGUUUGAAAAUGGUUGUAAGUAGGGCGUGACUUGCAAAAGUCACUGUCUCACGGGACUUGCUUCCAAAGGUUGUAAGUAUGACAUGACUUGACCGUCUCGCGGGACGUGAUAGUGUCUCUCUGUCUCUCUUCAAAAGAUCACAUCUUGUCGCAGGAAAAAAAGUCUUGUCUCGUCCCAAGAUUUUUUUUUAUAAUAGAGAGAUAUGGUCGAUCUGCCUCAGUGUUUUGCCCUAAGAAAAAACCAGCAGCCAUACCACCUGCACUUCAGAAUAAGUAAUCCACCUGAAGCAAAGCAUGUUUGGGCUAAGCCAGUAUUUGGAUGGAAGACCAAUCAGAAAAAUUUGGGUUGCAGCUGGAAGAGGUGUUGGUAUGGCCAUCAAGGGGUAAUUACCCUGUGGUCUGUGUGUGGGUCCCAGUGCAGUGAGAGGGACACUGUGCUGAAAAAAUGGUGUUGAUUGUUGGAUGACAUGUAAAACUGAAGUCUUGACUCUCUAUGAUCAUAAAAGAUUCCUGGUGUUUCAACAAGAGGAAGGUGUACUCCAAUGCCCUGGCUAAAUAGCCCAUCAUAGCCUUAUCCAUUUCUGGCCCCCUAAUCAACCUCUGUCUCUAACUGGCUAACCAUCUCUCUUACACCCUUACACCAUCUCAUAACUAGUGUGUGAGGAGCAUGCUGUAAAUAAAUGUCUAGAUAAUUUAGGAAAAGAAGUGAACAUAACAUUUCAUAUGUGUGUUAUGAAUGUGUAACAGGUAUUAAUUUUGUUUUAACAUCGUGAUCCUUCAUUGAUGGCUCUUAUAAAAUAAAAGCUGAAAACAUAUGACUUUCAGAAAGUUUUACUUUUA